rfam:Methylobacterium sp. Leaf456 contig_9, whole genome shotgun sequence.
CUGCCGGGACGGCCCGGCCGCGACAGGGCUCUCCGGCCGGGACGACCCGG